rnacentral:lncRNA from 1 species
GUCAGUGCCGCUUCCCACUAGGCGCGUGGUACCCGAAGCCGGGCUGGAGCCGCAGGCCAGCCGCGAUUCCUGCGGGCGAUGCUGGGGGCUUUCCGGUGGGGGGCCGCAGCCGCUUCCGGAGCCGCGGGCGAGGUGCGUUCCCCAGCCUGAUUUGCUCUGGGCUCUGACCCGCCGCCGCGAAUCUCCGCUCGUAACUCCGGGCCUGAACCCGGAGGAGGGAGGAUUUCCUCUGUGCAGCUUUCAAGCGGUAGACUCACCCUGCCAGGCAGACCUAGAUUGGCAUAACCAGAGAUUAAUUCCAGUUGUGAUGCAGUGGGUGUUUACACACUUCUGAUGACACCUUUAUUUUAAAAGCAGAUGUUCCAAGGUGCAAGUGGUUCUUCUCUGUCUUCUUUCUAGCCAGUAAAAUUCUCCAGAAGAGGAGAUUUAUGGCAGCCUCACUCCCAGUAGUUUCUGCAUUUAGGGAGAUAAGAUGGAAUCUUGCUCUGUUGCUCAGGCUGGAGUGCAGUGGCGUGACCUUGGCUCACUGCAACCUCACCUCUCGGGUUCAAGCGAUUCUGCCUCAGCCUCUCGAGUAGCUGGGACUACAGGUGGGAGACCUCCACAGAACCCUUCCAGCGAGCUGUCUUCUAAAGCAAACAAGAAAAAGAAAGUCUGAGCAGUUUUGAAUAGAUUUCCCAGAAGUCGAAGAGAGGAAAAAUGAAAAAGCUUCAUUUCUCACGUUCUUAAAAGAGAGCACAGAUGUUGCAUCAUCUGGUUAGAUAUCCUGAGAAUAAAAUCUGGAUCCAGUGAGAGAAAAGAUUCUGGGUGUUCAUGAAAAAAGAAACAAAACAAAACUUGGGAGCCUCUUGAGAGUGUACAGAAUCAGCCCUUGCCAACUCUUGUUUAUAUGCAUUGAACUUUCAGUUAACCAUGGGAAUAAUUCAUGAAAAUCCAGUCUACAAACAAAGGCCAUCCCAACGUUCAUGUUAUUCUUUUCCCUAAGAAUCUUUCACAAGAGCUAUUAUCAAGUAGAAUUAUGCUUUGAUUUGAAUUUUAAUUCAAUUGAAAAUAAAAAAUGAGGGCCAGACGCAGUGGCUCAUGCCUGUAAUCCCAGCACUUUGGGAGGCCGAGGCGGACGGAUCACGAGGUCAGGAGAUCGAGACCAUCCUGGCUAACAUGGUGAAACCCUGUCCCUACUAAAAAUACAAAAAAAUUAGCCGGGCGUGGUGGCAGGCACCUGUAGUCCCAGCUACUCGGGAGGCUGAGGCAGGAGAAUGGCGUGAACCCAGGAGGCAGAGGUUGCAGUGAGCCGAGAUCAUGCUACUGCACUCCAGCCUGGGCGACAGAGCGAGACUCUGUCUAUAAAUAAAUAAAUAAAUAAAUAAAUAACGAAAAGGUUGCCAU